rnacentral:rRNA from 1 species
GACGAACCGAGCGAACGUUAUUCGGAAUCACUGGGCUUAAAGGGCGCGUAGGCGGAUGAUCAAGUCAGGGGUGAAAGCCUCCAGCUCAACUGGAGAAGUGCCUCUGAUACUGGUCGUCUCGAGGGAGAUAGGGGCGUGCGGAACUUCCGGUGGAGCGGUGAAAUGCGUAGAUAUCGGAAGGAACACCGGUGGCGAAGGCGGCGCGCUGGAUCUCUACUGACGCUGAGGCGCGAAAGCCAGGGGAGCAAACGGG